rnacentral:rRNA from 1 species
AUUGAACGCUGGCGGCAUGCCUUACACAUGCAAGUCGAACGGCAGCACGGGUGCUUGCACCUGGUGGCGAGUGGCGAACGGGUGAGUAAUACAUCGGAACGUACCUUAUCGUGGGGGAUAACGCAGCGAAAGCUGUGCUAAUACCGCAUACGCCCUGAGGGGGAAAGCGGGGGAUCGCAAGACCUCGCGCGAUUAGAGCGGCCGAUGCCUGAUUAGCUUGUUGGUGGGGUAAAAGCCCACCAAGGCGACGAUCAGUAGCUGGUCUGAGAGGACGAUCAGCCACACUGGGACUGAGACACGGCCCAGACUGCUACGGGAGGCAGCAGUGGGGAAGUUUGGACAAUGGGGGCAACCCUGAUCCAGCAAUGCCGCGUGAGUGAAGAAGGCCUUCGGGUUGUAAAGCUCUUUUGUCAGGGGAGAAACACCGGCUCUAACACAGUCUGGGAAUGACGGUACCUGAAGAAUAAGCACCGGCUAACUACGUGCCAGCCGCCGCCGUAA